rnacentral:rRNA from 1 species
ACCUAUAGUCCUUCCACCCUGAGUGUGCUUGAUCUGGUCUGAUCUCAGAGCUAAGUAGGAUCGGGUCUGGUUGGUACUUGUAGACUGCCGGUGAAUACUGGGUGCUAUAGACU